UACGGAGGGUGCAAGCGUUGUUCGGAAUCACUGGGCGUAAAGGGCGCGCAGGCGGUCUUGUAAGUCAGAUGUGAAAGCCCACGGCUUAACCGUGGAAGUGCAUUUGAAACUGUGAGACUUGAGUACCAGAGGGGAAGGUGGAAUUCCCGGUGUAGAGGUGAAAUUCGUAGAUAUCGGGAGGAAUACCGGUGGCGAAGGCGACUUUCUGGCUGGAUACUGACGCUGAGGCGCGAAGGCGUGGGGAGCAAACAGG
rnacentral:rRNA from 1 species